UACGGAGGGUGCUAGCGUUGUUCGGAAUUAUUGGGCGUAAAGAGCGUGUAGGCGGUCAGGUAAGUCAGAUGUGAAAGCCCUUGGCUUAACCAAGGAAGGGCAUUUGAAACUGCCUGGCUUGAGUACGGGAGGGGGAAGCGGAAUUCCCGGUGUAGAGGUGAAAUUCGUAGAUAUCGGGAGGAACACCGGUGGCGAAGGCGGCUUCCUGGACCGAUACUGACGCUGAGACGCGAAAGCGUGGGGAGCAAACAGG
rnacentral:rRNA from 1 species